rnacentral:rRNA from 1 species
AGAGUUUGAUCCUGGCUCAGGAUGAACGCUAGCGACAGGCUUAACACAUGCAAGUCGAGGGGCAGCACAGGUAGCAAUACCGGGUGGCGACCGGCGCACGGGUGAGUAACGCGUAUGCAACUUGCCUAUCAGAGGGGGAUAACCCGGCGAAAGUCGGACUAAUACCGCAUGAAGCAGGGAUCCCGCAUGGGAAUAUUUGCUAAAGAUUCAUCGCUGAUAGAUAGGCAUGCGUUCCAUUAGGCAGUUGGCGGGGUAACGGCCCACCAAACCGACGAUGGAUAGGGGUUCUGAGAGGAAGGUCCCCCACAUUGGUACUGAGACACGGACCAAACUCCUACGGGAGGCAGCAGUGAGGAAUAUUGGUCAAUGGCCGAGAGGCUGAACCAGCCAAGUCGCGUGAGGGAUGAAGGUUCUAUGGAUCGUAAACCUCUUUUAUAAGGGAAUAAAGUGCGGGACGUGUCCCGUUUUGUAUGUACCUUAUGAAUAAGGAUCGGCUAACUCCGUGCCAGCAGCCGCGGUAAUACGGAGGAUCCGAGCGUUAUCCGGAUUUAUUGGGUUUAAAGGGUGCGUAGGCGGCCUUUUAAGUCAGCGGUGAAAGUCUGUGGCUCAACCAUAGAAUUGCCGUUGAAACUGGGGGGCUUGAGUAUGUUUGAGGCAGGCGGAAUGCGUGGUGUAGCGGUGAAAUGCAUAGAUAUCACGCAGAACCCCGAUUGCGAAGGCAGCCUGCCAAGCCAUUACUGACGCUGAUGCACGAAAGCGUGGGGAUCAAACAGGAUUAGAUACCCUGGUAGUCCACGCAGUAAACGAUGAUCACUAGCUGUUUGCGAUACACUGUAAGCGGCACAGCGAAAGCGUUAAGUGAUCCACCUGGGGAGUACGCCGGCAACGGUGAAACUCAAAGGAAUUGACGGGGGCCCGCACAGGCGGAGGAACAUGUGGUUUAAUUCGAUGAUACGCGAGGAACCUUACCCGGGUUUGAACGCAUUCGGACCGAGGUGGAAACACCUUUUCUAGCAAUAGCCGUUUGCGAGGUGCUGCAUGGUUGUCGUCAGCUCGUGCCGUGAGGUGUCGGCUUAAGUGCCACAACGAGCGCAACCCUUGCCACUAGUUACUAACAGGUAAAGCUGAGGACUCUGGUGGGACUGCCAGCGUAAGCUGCGAGGAAGGCGGGGAUGACGUCAAAUCAGCACGGCCCUUACAUCCGGGGCGACACACGUGUUACAAUGGCGUGGACAAAGGGAAGCCACCUGGCGACAGGGAGCGAAUCCCCAAACCACGUCUCAGUUCGGAUCGGAGUCUGCAACCCGACUCCGUGAAGCUGGAUUCGCUAGUAAUCGCGCAUCAGCCAUGGCGCGGUGAAUACGUUCCCGGGCCUUGUACACACCGCCCGUCAAGCCAUGGGAGCCGGGGGUACCCGAAGUCCGUAACCGCGAGGAUCGGCCUAGGGUAAAACUGGUGACUGGGGCUAAGUCGUAACAAGGUA